rnacentral:rRNA from 1 species
AUUGAACGCUGGCGGCAGGCCUAACACAUGCAAGUCGAGCGGAUGAAGGGAGCUUGCUCCUGGAUUCAGCGGCGGACGGGUGAGUAAUGCCUAGGAAUCUGCCUGGUAGUGGGGGAUAACGUCCGGAAACGGGCGCUAAUACCGCAUACGUCCUGAGGGAGAAAGUGGGGGAUCUUCGGACCUCACGCUAUCAGAUGAGCCUAGGUCGGAUUAGCUAGUUGGUGGGGUAAAGGCCUACCAAGGCGACGAUCCGUAACUGGUCUGAGAGGAUGAUCAGUCACACUGGAACUGAGACACGGUCCAGACUCCUACGGGAGGCAGCAGGUGGGAAUAUUGGACAAUGGGCGAAAGCCUGAUCCAGCCAUGCCGCGUGUGUGAAGAAGGUCUUCGGAUUGUAAAGCACUUUAAGUUGGGAGGAAGGGCAGUAAGUUAAUACCUUGCUGUUUUGACGUUACCAACAGAAUAAGCACCGGCUAACUUCGUG